UACGUAGGGAGCAAGCGUUGUCCGGAAUCAUUGGGCGUAAAGCGCGCGUAGGUGGCCUCAUAAGUCCGCUGUGAAAGUCGGGGGCUCAACCCUCGGAUGCCGGUGGAUACUGUCGGGCUCGAGUACGGAAGAGGCGAGUGGAAUUCCUGGUGUAGCGGUGAAAUGCGCAGAUAUCAGGAGGAACACCAAUUGCGAAGGCAGCUCGCUGGGACGUUACUGACGCUGAGACGCGAAAGCGUGGGGAGCAAACAGG
rnacentral:rRNA from 1 species